GGGCUCACACAAGCGGUGGAGCAUGUGGCUUAAUUCGAGGCUACGCGAAGAACCUUAUCCUGGACUUGACAUAUGCGAAAGCGCUGGGAGGUAGGACCCGGAAACGGGAACGAACGGUAUCCAAUCCGGAACCCAGUACAGGUGCUGCAUGGCUGUCGUCAGCUCGUGUCGUGAGAUGUCGGGUUAAGUCCCAUAACGAGCGAAACCCUUGCCCAUUAGUUGCCAGGUUAAUAGCCGACUCUAGGGGGACUGCCGGUGUUAAACCGGAGGAAGGUGGGGAUGACGUCAAGUCCUCAUGGCCUUUAUGUCCAGGGCUGCACACGUGCUACAAUGGCGUGAACAGAGGGACGCAAACCCGCGAGGGGGAGCAAAUCCCAAAAAACACGCCCCAGUUCAGAUCGUAGGCUGCAACUCGCCUGCGUGAAGUUGGAAUCGCUAGUAAUCGCGGGUCAGCAACACCGCGGUGAAUGUGUUCCUGAGCCUU
rnacentral:rRNA from 1 species